AUACAGAGGGUGCAAGCGUUAAUCGGAUUUACUGGGCGUAAAGCGCGCGUAGGCGGCUAAUUAAGUCAAAUGUGAAAUCCCCGAGCUUAACUUGGGAAUUGCAUUCGAUACUGGUUAGCUAGAGUGUGGGAGAGGAUGGUAGAAUUCCAGGUGUAGCGGUGAAAUGCGUGGAGAUCUGGAGGAAUACCGAUGGCGAAGGCAGCCAUCUGGCCUAACACUGACGCUGAGGUGCGAAAGCAUGGGGAGCAAACAGGAUUAGAAACCCUAGUAGUCC
rnacentral:rRNA from 1 species